ACACUGGGACUGAGACACGGCCCAGACUCCUACGGGAGGCAGCAGUAGGGAAUCUUCCGCAAUGGACGAAAGUCUGACGGAGCAACGCCGCGUGAGUGAUGAAGGUUUUCGGAUCGUAAAGCUCUGUUGUUAGGGAAGAACAAGUGCGAGAGUAACUGCUCGCACCUUGACGGUACCUAACCAGAAAGCCACGGCUAACUACGUGCCAGCAGCCGCGGUAAUACGUAGGUGGCAAGCGUUGUCCGGAAUUAUUGGGCGUAAAGGGCUCGCAGGCGGUUUCUUAAGUCUGAUGUGAAAGCCCCCGGCUCAACCGGGGAGGGUCAUUGGAAACUGGGAAACUUGAGUGCAGAAGAGGAGAGUGGAAUUCCACGUGUAGCGGUGAAAUGCGUAGAGAUGUGGAGGAACACCAGUGGCGAAGGCGACUCUCUGGUCUGUAACUGACGCUGAGGAGCGAAAGCGUGGGGAGCGAACAGGAUUAGAUACCCUGGUAGUCCACGCCGUAAACGAUGAGUGCUAAGUGUUAGGGGGUUUCCGCCCCUUAGUGCUGCAGCUAACGCAUUAAGCACU
rnacentral:rRNA from 1 species